rnacentral:lncRNA from 1 species
UUACAAAUUUCACAGGAUUUAUUGGCCUCAAUAUUAGAAUAUCAUCUUUUAUCUCUUCUCAGGUUGAUCUACUUCUUCCCAUCAAUGCCACACAUACUGGGGAAGAGGAGGUGCCCCGAUACUUACCUGGGUUAGGGGUCUUGCCUUGUUGGAUGUGUCAUGAUUUACACCACCAUCUGCAUCUGGCUUGUUCCUCUGGAGCUCUGGCCUUUCAUCUCUUCUCCUCACUGGAUUUCUGGCUUGGCCUUCUACUGGAGUCUCACUACUAUUCUUCUGAUUCUGAUAGUGACCUCUUCAACAGACACAGAAAACUGAGGGCAAAUAUGUAACCUUCACUGAUCAUUCUGUCUGCAGAGGCAAAGUGGAGUGAGGGAUUAUGAUAAUUAUCAGGCAACCAAGGUAAUUCUACCAUUCUGAGUAGGAAAACAUUUUAAAAAAAUCUAUGAUCUCUACAAAUAUUAUCUAGCUAUAUUUUUUCUGUGGUAAUUGCAUAAAUUGUAAGACAGUGUGACCUAAUGAAAAAUAGACUUUCAAGUUCCAACUUUGAUAUUUGGUAGCUUGUGUGACUUUGUCCCAGGAUGCUUUCAGUUGUAAAUUAAUAUAAAAAACAAUAACAGUGAGUUAAACUAUUGCAUCUCAAACAUUAAUGUGCAUAUGGAUCGCCUGCAGACUUAUUAAAAUGCAGAUUCUGAUUCAGUAGGUGUGAAAUGGGGCCCAAGAUUCUGCAUUUCCAACAAUAUCCCAAGUGUGCUGAUGAUGUUUUGGACACAGACCACACUCUGAGUAGCAAAGACUGAAAGACUAUGUUUUUGAAGUCAACAGAAAAAAAAAAAAAACGCAGAGACAGGUAGCUCCAGGUUUGGCCAAUAGCUCAAAGAUGUCAUGGGGCGCCUGGGUGGUGCAGUCGGUUAAGCGUCCGACUUCAGCCAGGUCACGAUCUUGCGGUCCGUGAGUUCGAGCCCCGCGUCAGGCUCUGGGCUGAUGGCUCAGAGCCUGGAGCCUGUUUCCGAUUCUGUGUCUCCCUCUCUCUCUGCCCCUCCCCCGUUCAUGCUCUGUCUCUCUCUGUCCCAAAAAAAAAAAAAAUUAAACAAAACAAAACAAAAAAGAUGUCAUAAGCACUUAGGUUCUUUACUUUUGCUUUGCCAUCU